CAUUGCCCAAGGAUGGGCCGCGACCGAUCAGGUAGUGUGAGUAAUGGCUCACAAGCCUUUACCGGUGCGGCCGUGAGAGCGGGAGCCCGGAGAUGGGCACUGAGACAAGGGCCCAGGUCUACGGGGCGCAGCAGUCGCGAAACCUUUGCAAUACACGAAAGUGUGACAGGGUCAUCCCGAGUGCCGACCGCUGAGGUUGGCUUUUACCCAGUCUAGAAAGCUGGGGGAAUAAGGAGAGGGCAAGUCUGGUGUCAGCCGCCGCGGUAAUACCAGCUCUCCGAGUGGUGUGGACGUUUAUUGGGCCUAAAGCAUCCGUAGCUGGCUGAACAAGUCCCCUGUUAAACCCACCGAUUUAAUCGUUGGCUUGCGGGGGAAACUGCUCGGCUAGGGGACGAGAGAGGCAAGCGGUAUUCUCGGGGUAGGGGUGAAAUCCUAUAAUCCCGAGAAGACCACCAGUGGCGAAGGCUGCUUGCUAGAACGCGCCCGACGGUGAGGGAUGAAAGCUGGGGGAGCGAACCGGAUUAGAUACCCGGGUAGUCCCAGCUGUAAACGAUGCAGACUAGGUGUUUGGACGGCCACGUGCCGUUCUAGUGCCGCAGGGAAGCUGUUAAGUCUGCCGCCUGGGGAGUACGAUCGCAAGAUUGAAACUUAAAGGAAUUGGCGGGGGAG
rnacentral:rRNA from 1 species